rnacentral:rRNA from 1 species
GACGAACGCUGGCGGCGUGCUUAACGCAUGCAAGUCGAACGGAAAGGCCCUGCUUUUGUGGGGUGCUCGAGUGGCGAACGGGUGAGUAACACGUGAGUAACCUGCCCUUGACUUUGGGAUAACUUCAGGAAACUGGGGCUAAUACCGGAUAGGAGCUCCUGCUGCAUGGUGGGGGUUGGAAAGUUUCGGCGGUUGGGGAUGGACUCGCGGCUUAUCAGCUUGUUGGUGGGGUAGUGGCUUACCAAGGCUUUGACGGGUAGCCGGCCUGAGAGGGUGACCGGCCACAUUGGGACUGAGAUACGGCCCAGACUCCUACGGGAGGCAGCAGUGGGGAAUAUUGCACAAUGGGCGGAAGCCUGAUGCAGCAACGCCGCGUGCGGGAUGACGGCCCUCGGGUUGUAAACCGCUUUCGCCUGUGACGAAGCGUGAGUGACGGUAAUGGGUAAAGAAGCACCGGCUAACUACGUG